CCCUUAGAUGUUCUGGGCCGCACGCGCGCUACACUGAUGCAUUCAACGAGCCUAUCCUUGACCGACAGGUCCGGGUAAUCUUUGAAUCUGCAUCGUGACGGGGAUAGAUUAUUGCAAUUAUUAAUCUUCAACGAGGAAUGCCUAGUAGGCGCAAGUCAUCAGCUUGCGUCGAUUACGUCCCUGCCCUUUGUACACACCGCCCGUCGCUCCUACCGAUUGGGUGUGCUGGUGAAGCGUUCGGAUUGUGGGUUCGGAGCGGUUCGCCGUUCUGGGCUUGCGAGAAGUUCGUUAAACCCUCCUAUCUAGAGGAAGGAGAAGUCGUAACA
rnacentral:rRNA from 1 species